UACAGAGGUGGCAAGCGUUGUUCGGAAUUACUGGGCGUAAAGGGCGCGUAGGCGGCCAUCUAAGUCAGACGUGAAAUCCCCCGGCUUAACCUGGGAACUGCGUCUGAUACUGGAAGGCUCGAGUUUGGGAGAGGGAUGUGGAAUUCCAGGUGUAGCGGUGAAAUGCGCAGAUAUCAGGAGGAACACCGGUGGCGAAGGCGGGUCUCUGGGCAAUAACUGACGCUGAGGAGCGAAAGCGUGGGGAGCGAACAGG
rnacentral:rRNA from 1 species